rnacentral:lncRNA from 1 species
CGGAAAUGCAACUGCGUACGGGCUGGCCGCGUAAUCGUGGCGUCAGCGCGCCCGCGCCGGCUGGCCGGACGCCCUAGGCUUCCGCGAGAUCUUCGGUGGGGGUAAGGGUGUUUUACGCCAGGACGCUGAUGCGUUUGGGUUCUCGUCUGCAGACUCUCUGGACCUGGUCACGAUUCCACAAUGUACCACAACAGUAGUCAGAAGCGGCACUGGACUUUCUCCAGCGAGGAGCAGCUGGCAAGACUGCGGGCCGACGCCAACCGCAAAUUCAGAUGCAAAGCCGUGGCCAACGGGAAGGUGAGGUUUUCCCAACGGUUGCCCAGUUGCCCGGUCACUAAAUUCUGAGCAGCUGCGGGAGCUCUUCUGGCUCCCAGGACAAUCUCGCUCCGUCAUUUCUCUGCCUCUGCGGCGCGGAGUGCGUUUAUCUAUCAAAAUAAGCGAGCACCUUGCCAGGUUCCGUGGGUACAAAGACGAACAACGCCAUCCCCGUCGUCGAAUGGCAGACAAGUAACCAGUCUUUGUAACGCAGUGAAGAAGAGAGUUCUUCCGAAUGAUCCAGUCUUUCUUGAGCCUCAUGAAGAAAUGACACUCUGCAAAUACUAUGAGAAAAGGUUAUUGGAAUUCUGUUCGGUGUUUAAGCCAGCAAUGCCAAGGUCUGUUGUGGGUACGGCUUGUAUGUAUUUCAAACGUUUUUAUCUUAAUAACUCAGUAAUGCAAUAUCACC